AAGGUUUCCUGGAUUACAUGGGGACAGACAACCAAGGCUGGAAAGACAGAGUUCUUUCCAAAGCCAAGAAAUAUCAUCUGGAAGUGGGUGAUCUGGGGCUCAGACACACAAAAGCACUGGUACUAACCUUAAAAGGAAAAGGCUGGGCUCUACCAAAACCAUUGGGAGAAGAGACGAGUCCCAAGCUGGGCUGGCAAGAUGCUUGGUAGGCAAAGGUACCCCCCACCAAGCUUGAUGGCCUGAGUUCCAUCCUCAGGACCCACGUGAUGGAAGAACUGUCUUCUUUGAGUUGUCCUCUGACCUUCACAUGUGUGCUG
ensembl:lincRNA Gm28086 predicted gene 28086